CUCUGCAGGAAGAUAAACAUGCAACUCCUUACGGGAUGCUGUAGCGGGUAACUUUUUGGAUGCGAGGCAAGUCUUUCCUCUGACAGAAAAAGUUUCAUGGUUGACCGGCUGUCUAUGGUGUCUCACCAAUGGCUGACUCUUGCAAGAUGGAAAAGAUGGGGUGUGCUUUUGUAACGGAGGACAGCUGUUUCUUGAAAACUCCCCAAACAACGCCCAGUGUCUUGGUUUAAACAAGGAUGGCUCACUGAUACUGUGCAAGAUGAGAGAAAACCCCAAACAGGUAUUGACUUACCUGAGAGGCACUGUGGUGGUCUUAGCAUGCGAUAAUCUGGGCAGUGAUGGGAGCCUGAAAUCCUCUCCGCUGGAAUUAGAAAGUGGGAGCAUGGAGCUGGAUAGCAUGUAAGUUUCGCCCAUAGUUUGUUGACUUUGCAUUGCCCACUUAAAUUUGGCAGGUUUCAUGUCUAAUCCAGGAGAUUUACUAACUAUCUCAUGCCUGUCUCGACGGCACCAGACGGACUGCAUGAACCCUCUGGGGGUGCAUGUGUCCAUAUACAGUGAUCAAUAAUGUAUGAGCAUUAAAAACACAUGAAGUGAGCCCAUUGGUUGCACACCACCAAAUUCUCCCUCCCAUUGUUCCUCUCUCAUUUUGAUGUCACCUUAUAGGAGACUUGAAUGAACACAAAAAGCCUUAUAUUACAAAGGCUAUUAAUCUUAAUUUCAUAAACCAUUGUUUAACACCUUAGACUAAAAUGAUAAACAAAAAACUUUAAUAUCCCUUAACCCAAAGCAGUCUCUUUAUAAUAAUUUAGAGUUGUUUACACAUUGAACACAAAUGUUUUAAACUUAAGGAUGU